rnacentral:rRNA from 1 species
CCUACGGGAGGCUGCAGUGGGGAAUAUUGCACAAUGGGCGCAAGCCUGAUGCAGCCAUGCCGCGUGUAUGAAGAAGGCCUUCGGGUUGUAAAGUACUUUCAGCGGGGAGGAAGGGAGUAAAGUUAAUACCUUUGCUCAUUGACGUCAUCCGCAGAAGAAGCAGCGGCUAACGCCGUGCCAGCAGCCGCGGUAAUACGGAGGGUGCAAGCGUUGAUCGGAAUUACUGGGAGUAAAGGGAACGCAGGCGGUUUGUUACGUCAGCUGUGAAAUCCCCGGGCUCAACCUGGGAACUGCAGCGGAUACUGGCAAGCUUGAGUGCCGGAGAGGGAGGUAGAAUUCCAGGUGUAGCGGUGAAAUGCGUAGAGAUCAGGAGGAAUACCGGUGGCGAAGGCGGCCCCCUGGACGAAGACUGACGCUCAGGUGCGAAAGCGUGGGGAGCAAACAGGAUUAGAUAACCUGGUAGUC